AUGAAUAUUAAGAGCUGUGGUGCUGUGGUGAGUCUCAAAAAAUGGUCUGAAUCUGUGGGUGCCAAGGGUGUACUUAACAUUGCUUGGGUCAAUGUUAGCAACAUCCCUUUGGAAAAAAGGUGUGAAAAAAAUAUUGCUUAUGUUGGAUCUUUGGUGGGUGUGACUCUUGACAUCGACAAAUCUACUGUCAACAGACCCGAGUCGGUCAGGAUUAAGUUGGGUUGUAGAGAUGCUGAGAACAUCCCAGCUAAGGCAGAGGGGGUGUUGGGAGAUCAUUUCUAUGAUGUCUUCUACUCGGUGGAUAAAAUUCUGGUUAAAAAUAAUCCUAAAGGAACUAUGACAAUUACUCAGGAUGCAGACAAGGGGGUGUCACCCAAGAGGGCUAGAAUCACAUAA
rnacentral:rRNA from 1 species